rnacentral:rRNA from 1 species
CUGGUUGAUCCUGCCGGAGGCUACUGCUAUUGGGAUUCGACUAAGCCAUGCGAGUCAAGGUGUCUUCGGACGCCGGCAUACGGCUCAGUAACACGUAGGUAACCUACCCUUAGGACUGGCAUAACCCCGGGAAACUGGGGCUAAUAUCAGAUAGAUAAAAGAUACUGGAAUGUUCUUUUAUCCAAAGCUUUUGUGCCUAAGGACGGGCCUGCGUCCGAUUAGGUUGUUGGUGGGGUAAUGGCCCACCAAGCCUGCGAUUGGUACGGGCAGUGGGAGCUGUAGCCCGGAGUUGGGAACUGAGACAAGGCCCCAGGCCCUACGGGGCGCAGCAGGCGCGAAACCUCUGCAAUGCGGGAAACCGUGACAGGGGGAUCCCAAGUGCUCAUGCAUUGCAUGGGCUGUUCUUUGGUCUAAGUAACCAGAGGAGUAAGGGCUGGGCAAGACCGGUGCCAGCCGCCGCGGUAAUACCGGCAGCUCGAGUGGUAGCCGCGAUUAUUGGGCCUAAAGCGUUCGUAGCCGGAUAAGUAAGUCUUUGGUUAAAUCCUGCGACUUAACCGUGGGAAAUCUAGAGAUACUGCUUGUCUUGAGACCGGGAGAGGUUGGAGGUACUCCUAGGGUAGGGGUGAAAUCCUGUAAUCCUAGGGGGACCACCUGUGGCGAAGGCGUCCAACUGGAACGGGUCUGACGGUGAGGGACGAAACCUAGGGGAGCGAGCCGGAUUAGAUACCCGGGUAGUCCUAGGCGUAAAUGAUGCGAGUUAAGUGUGGGGGCAUCUACGAGAUGGCCCUGUGCUGUAGGGUAGCCGUUAAACUCGCCGCCUGGGGAGUACGGUCGCAAGGCUGAAACUUAAAGGAAUUGGCGGGGGAGCACCACAAGAGGUGGAGGCUGCGGUUCAAUUGGAGUCAACGCCGGA